UAUUUUAAAAUGGACAAAAUAAACUAGGUAGGCAGCUGGUGCCUGCUUACCACUGAUCAAGGACAAACCCAAAAGUAUUCUCCACAAGGGAGCGGAGCCACGGGGGC